CUGAGUGCUCACAUACCUUGUCCUUCUCCCCCUACCCCCAGCCCCUGUCCAUCCCAGACCUUGGGAGCCUCCUCCAGAGCAGUGGCCUCUUCUGGCCUCUCCUGGGGUGGGUAGGCCCGAUGAAAAGGGUAGUUCACCUAGAGUGGAGGCCCGGUCACCCCAGCCAACUUUCUGCCUUUGACUGAGCUCUGGCUCCAGUGUGGGUGGAGAACCUGAAGAUUUUGAGGGCCUUGUCCAUCUUACUGGUGGCCCUGAUAAGAAGGCUAGUUAAGGUCUCUGGGAUCCAGCUCCUUCCUGGGUGGACUCUCCAGAGCUGCCACUGAGCAGCACCCCUGCCUACUCCUGCGGGGUAGGCAAAACCUAGCUCCACAGCCACUUUCACGGUUUUCUCAGCCCUUUUCCUGAGAGAGGAGGUGGUCUGUCAGGACACCCCUGUGCUGCUGGUCUCCAGACCUUCCUCUUCUCCUCCACAGUCUGGAAUGUCCCCUUCCCUUAGCUGUAUCUGAGGAUGUCCCCCCUGUCCUCCGAAGCUCAGGGCCAAGCCCACAGCCUUCAUCAUGUCUUCCUCAAUUGCCACGAGAACUGUUUCCACCUCUAUUUGGACAUUUGUCUCCUUUGAUUUGGAUCACAGGGAUUUUUGUGCACCCCAGAACAGCCUCAUUGUAUCUCAUUUAUUCAUUGAACCAACAAUUUUUUUGCAGGGGGUGGGAUACCAGGGAUUGAACCCAGGGACACUUAACCACUGAGCCACAUCCCAGCUACCUCCAACUUUUGUAUUAUAUUUACAGACUGGGUCUCACUGAGUUGCUCAGGCCCUCACUUGCUGAGUCUGGCUUUGAACUUGUG
rnacentral:lncRNA from 1 species